rnacentral:rRNA from 1 species
AUUGAACGCUGGCGGCAGGCUUAACACAUGCAAGUCGAACGAGUGGCGGACGGGUGAGUAAUGCUUGGGAAUCUGGCUUAUGGAGGGGGAUCACGACGGGAACCUGUCGCUACUACCGCAUAUCAACGGCGGGGAUUGCGUCUGAUUAGCUAGUGGGAGGGGUAACGGCCCACCAAGGGGAUGAUCAGUAGCCGGUCUGAGAGGAUGACCAGCCACAAGGGAACUGAGACACGGUCCAGACUCCUCCGGGAGGCAGCAGUGGGGAAUAUUGCACAAUGGGCGCAAGCUGAUGCAGCCAUGCCGCGUGUAUGAAGAAGGCCUUCGGGUUGUAAAGUUCUUUCGGUGACGAGGCGUUAAUCACAGAAGAAGCACCGGCUAACUCCGUGCCAGCAGCCGCGGUAAUUC